GACGAACGCUGGCGGCGUGCUUAACACAUGCAAGUCGAACGGAAAGGCCCUGCUUGCAGGGUGCUCGAGUGGCGAACGGGUGAGUAACACGUGGGUGAUCUGCCCCUUACUUUGGGAUAAGCCUGGUAAACUGGGUCUAAUACUGGAUAGGACCAUGCUGUAGGUGGCGUGGUGGAAAGAUUAGUUUCGGUAAGGGAUGAGCUCGCGGCCUAUCAGCUUGUUGGUGGGGUAAUGGCCUACCAAGGCGUCGACGGGUAGCCGGCCUGAGAGGGUGGACGGCCACAUUGGGACUGAGAUACGGCCCAGACUCCUACGGGAGGCAGCAGUGGGGAAUAUUGCACAAUGGGCGCAAGCCUGAUGCAGCGACGCCGCGUGGGGGAUGACGGCCUUCGGGUUGUAAACUCCUUUCAGCCAUGACGAAGCCCUUGUGGUGACGGUAGUGGUAGAAGAAGCACCGGCUAACUACGUG
rnacentral:rRNA from 1 species